ACACAUGCAAGUCGAACGGAAAGGCUCACUGCUUGCWNGGGUACUCGAGUGGCGAACGGGUGAGUAACACGUGGGUGAUCUGCCCCGCACUUCGGGAUAAGCCUGGGAAACUGGGUCUAAUACCGGAUAGGACCACUUCUUGGAGGCYGUGGUGGAAAGUUUUUUCGGUGUGGGAUGAGCUCGCGGCCUAUCAGCUUGUUGGUGGGGUAAUGGCCUACCAAGGCGUCGACGGGUAGCCGGCCUGAGAGGGUGUACGGCCACAUUGGGACUGAGAUACGGCCCAGACUCCUACGGGAGGCAGCAGUGGGGAAUAUUGCACAAUGGGCGCAAGCCUGAUGCAGCGACGCCGCGUGGGGGAUGACGGCCUUCGGGUUGUAAACUCCUUUCGCUAGGGACGAAGCGCAAGUGA
rnacentral:rRNA from 1 species